rnacentral:lncRNA from 1 species
CAUAUUCAUUCCUCUGUCCAUUUAUUCAUUUAACUAAUAUAUUAAAAGAUUUAUGUUUAAGGAAUGAUAUUAGGUAUUGUGAAAAGUUAAAUUUAACUAGCUAGUACUUAUUUCCAUUCAGUUCAACAAACAACCAAUAGAUGUUCAAUGUGCUCCAGGCAAAGUGUGAGGUGCUGCAGAUCCAACAUAAAUAAGCAGUUCCUGACCCUGGACCUGGGCAGGGAUGGGGACCCUCAUGGAACCAAUGUGACGUAGCAUGAGACGCACUGCUCUCAUAAAACACAGAACAGCAGAGAUGGAGAAAAUUCUAUUAAAGGGCAGAAGUAAAGAUCCCAAAGCGUUUCAGAGAUAAGAUACCAUGUGAGGUGGAUCCUGAAGAAUGAGUAGAAUUUUGCCCAGGGGAAUAGGCAAGGGUAAGAGGAGCAUGCUAGGCCGAGGAAGCUGUCCCAGGAAAGGCACAGAGACACAAGAUCAGGAUACACUUGGGUCCAAGGAGUAGUUGGUGUGAUCUGCCUGUGGGGUACCUGCCCAGAAGAAACCAACUGAACAUGAAGCCAAAACAAGCAGGUGCCAUAUUGAGAGGAACUGUAAAUGUUUUUUCCAAGAGUCCGACUUGGUACUAUGAGCCAGGUCUGGAACCCACUGCAGUGAAGAUUGCUAGAAGGACUUUCAGUAAAGGAAAGUCAUUAUCGUAGUUGGACUCUGGGCAGGCCCAAGACUAGAGUGAGGGGAGUGAGGCAGCUACAGAGCAAAAUUUAUAGAGACUUUCACUCUCAGCAUUUGCAGGAUCCUGAGAGUAAUGCUGCCUUAAAUUUCAUGCCUUUGUCACUUCAUCACCACACCCUAAUCCCAGCCCUGACUCAAGGGACAGUGGUGAGGCUUUGUGGUGGCAGGGAGGGCUGAUAUCAGAACAGGCCAGUGGGAAGUCAGGACAGCAGUCUAGGUGAGAGGGGAUUGAGGCCUCAGGGAUGAAGAAAAGAUCAGAGUGACCCUUCCAAAGUAGCACCCACAAGACUGGGCAGACCUAGGGCAGCAGCCCAGGAGGAUGCUGAGGUUGUCUGGCUUGGGACUGAAGCAUGAGUGCUGGGCACUGACAUAGCAGACAUGAAG